UACGGAGGGUGCGAGCGUUGUCCGGAAUCAUUGGGCGUAAAGGGCGCGUAGGUGGCGGCUUAAGCGUGCGGUGAAAGCUCGGGGCUCAACCCCGAGUCGGCCGUGCGAACUGAGUCGCUUGAGCACUGUAGGGGCAGGCGGAAUUCCGGGUGUAGCGGUGGAAUGCGUAGAGAUCCGGAAGAACACCGGUGGCGAAGGCGGCCUGCUGGGCAGUAGCUGACACUGAGGCGCGACAGCGUGGGGAGCAAACAGG
rnacentral:rRNA from 1 species